AAUGUAUUAUAUUGAAUUAAUGUACCUAAAUGUCAAUACCGAAAUGUAUGUACCUAAAUGUCAAUACCAAAAAUGUAUGUACCUAAAUAUCAAUACCGAAAAUGUAUGUACCUAAAUAUCAAUACCAAAAUGUAUGUACCUAAAUGUAUUUACCGAAAUAUAAUAAUUGAAUUAAUGUACCUAAAAGUCGAUACUCAAAUGUGUGUACCAAAGUGUACGUAACGAAAUACAUUAUAUUAACCGAAAUGCAUUAUAUUGAAUCAAUGUAACUACAUAUUUGUACCGAUGGAUAUACCAAAAUAUUCAAAUGUAUUAAUGUACCUAAAUAAAGAACAUACAA
rnacentral:lncRNA from 1 species